rnacentral:rRNA from 1 species
GACGAACGCUGGCGGCGUGCCUAAUACAUGCGAGUCGAACGAGAGCGACCGGUGCUUGCACUGGUCAAUCUAGUGGCGAACGGGUGAGUAACACGUGGGUAACCUGCCCAUCAGAGGGGGUUACCAUCGGGAACCGGAGCCUAAAACCCCUAAGUCCUUCAAGCCCCUGGGUUUAAGGGGAAAAAAGGCCGCAGGCUUUUCCGGAUGGUGGGACCCGCGGUGCAUUAGCUAGUGGGGGAGGUAAGGGCCCACCAAGCCCGUGAUGCAUAGCGGACCUGAGAGGGUGAUCGGCCACAUUGGGACUGAGACACGGCCCAAACUCCUACGGGAGGCAGCAGUAGGGAAUCUUCCGCAAUGGACGCAAGUCUGACGGAGCAACGCCGCGUGAGUGAAGAAGGUUUUCGGAUCGUAAAACUCUGUUGUUAGAGAAGAACAAGUGCUAGAGUAACUGUUAGCGCCUUGACGGUAUCUAACCAGAAAGCCACGGCUAACUACGUG